rnacentral:rRNA from 1 species
GACGAACGCUGGCGGCGUGCUUAACACAUGCAAGUCGAACGGAAAGGCCCUGCUUUUGUGGGGUGCUCGAGUGGCGAACGGGUGAGUAACACGUGAGUAACCUGCCCUUGACUUUGGGAUAACUUCAGGAAACUGGGGCUAAUACCGGAUAGGAGCUCCUGCUGCAUGGUGGGGGUUGGAAAGUUUCGGCAGUUGGGGAUGGACUCGCGGCUUAUCAGCUUGUUGGUGGGGUAGUGGCUUACCAAGGCUUUGACGGGUAGCCGGCCUGAGAGGGUGACCGGCGACAUUGGGACUGAGAUACGGCCCAGACUCCUACGGGAGGCAGCAGUGGGGAAUAUUGCACAAUGGGCGGAAGCCUGAUGCAGCAACGCCGCGUGCGGGAUGACGGCCUUCGGGUUGUAAACCGCUUUCGACUGUGACGAAGCGUGAGUGACGGUAAUGGGUAAAGAAGCACCGGCUAACUACGUG